UACGUAGGGAGCAAGCGUUGUCCGGAAUCAUUGGGCGUAAAGCGCGUGUAGGCGGUUACAUAAGUCCGCUGUGAAAGUCGGGGGCUCAACCCUCGGAUGCCGGUGGAUACUGUCGGGCUUGAGUACGGAAGAGGCGAGUGGAAUUCCGCGUGUAGCAGUGAGAUGCGUAGAGAUGCGGAGGAACACCGAUGGCGAAGGCAGCCCCCUGGGCUGACACUGACGCUCAGGCACGAAAGCGUGGGGAGCAAACAGG
rnacentral:rRNA from 1 species